UGGAUUGAGUGCAGCGUUUCGUUUACAUUGCAUAUCCACUCACAGCUGAGGAUAGAAAAUAUAAACCCAAAACUCUUGGGAUUUCGCCCCUUUUAACAUUGCUGUUUUCUGUGCUUGUCCUCCGACUAGUACAAAUCGAAAUCGAACCAUAGCACAGUGCUCGCUUCUUCCUCCUGCUUUGUCUUCUCGACCUCCUACUUUCGUUUUCUGGUGGGAAUCACCAUUUCCGGCGAGGUUCCGGUCAUCUUCCUCAUCUCCGGCGAAACUCAAGCAAUUUCCGAUGUGACCCAGACUUCGUCCGGCGAGACCAUCUGCGUUAGAGCAUUUUUUUUCCGGUAUUCGUAUCUGAAUAAAUUGGUUACACUUCGGGGAGCAUAAGGUGCAGCUUUUCUGCUUGUACUUGAUGAGUUGGGAUAUUUUCAUUGGUCCCCAAAUCCACUGACUAUUGCCAAUUUGUAUAAAUUAUUAACAAAUUACCAAUUUGGAAUGAACCUGUUGUCAAGCUUCAGACACAGGGUCUUCCCACCAACUGUCUCACCCUUUGUCCUCUUCACCCAAAGGAGAUGGAAGAAACCUACGGUCUCAGCGCAGACCCGUUUGGAGGACAGGGUAAGGGACCCCUACCUUGACAAGUUCAUGACCCACCUUAAAAAACUCAAACUUGUUCUCGAAAUCCACCACCUCAUGUCAAAACGCAAGCGUGGUGCUUUUGUGUCCCUUCAGCUCAUGUCCCGUUGGAGAAACAUUUUAGGACUCAAUGUACCUAUUGGUUCCUUUGUCCACAAAUACCCUCACGUUUUUGAGGUGUUUGCGCACCCUCUCAGGAGGAACACGUGUUGUAGGAUUACAAGGAAGGUGAAAGAGUUGAUCUUGCUGGAAGGGGUUGCUGUGAAGCAGCAGGAGCUGGAGGCUGUGAAGAGCGUCAAGAAGUUGCUAAUGAUGUCUGUGAAUGGCACCCUUCAUGUACAUGCUUUGAGGUUGAUCAGAAGGGAACUGGGUCUUCCUGAGGAUUUCAGAGACUCCAUUCUUGGCAAGUAUAGUGGGGAAUUCAGAUUGAUUGAUUUGGAGGUUGUGGCACUGGUGGGUAUAGAUGAUGACUUGGGAGUGGCUCAGGUUGAGAAAUGGAGGGAGAAAGAGUAUACAGAGAAGUGGUUGAGUGAGUUUGAGACCAAGUUUGCGUUUCCCAUCAAUUUCCCAACAGGGUUUAAGAUUGAGAGAGGCUUCAGAGACAAGUUGAAGAAUUGGCAAAGGCUUCCCUAUACAAAGCCUUAUGAGAGGAAAGAGGUCAUUCAGGUUCGAACGUGUGGCGGGAUUGAGCGCUAUGAGAAGAGGGCUGUUGCUGUUCUUCAUGAGCUGUUGAGCCUGACUAUGGAGAAAAUGGUUGAGGUUGAUCACCUGGCUCAUUUUCGGAGGGACUUUGCGAUUGAAGUUAAUGUACGUGAACUAUUGUUAAGGCACCCUGGAAUAUUCUACAUAUCUACUAAAGGGAAAACUCUAACUGUUUUUCUUAGGGAAGCAUAUAGGAAAGGGAGUUUGGUUGAGCCUAAUCCUGUGUAUACAGCUCGAAGGAAUAUGUCAGACCUAGUAUUGUUAGGACGUAGGAAAACGAAACAGUUGUUAGCUUGUGAUAAAGUUAAGGAAGAGAAAAAUAUUGUAGUCCAUGAAAUAUAUGAGGAAGGUAAACGACAAGGAGAUUGGGUGAUUCCUUUCCUGGAGAAUUGUGAGGAGAAUAGAUCCCCAUGAUAUUGUGAGGAUGGCAGAGAGCAUAUUUGAAGAAAUUAUGAACACAGUUUUGGGCUUAUUGAGUUGAUUGGCUUCUACUUUUAGUCUCCUGUGCAAUGUUUCAUUUGUAUUCUAUUGAUAUCACUUGUCAUGUGGUGGCUAGAUGAGACAGACUUCACUGGUGGACAAAUCAUGAUUAAAAUUUCAAAUUGUGGAUGAUCUAGUGCAAGAGCACUAGAGCCUUAUAUCUUUAGGGAGGUUCUUGCAGAAGAGGAUUACAACAUCUGGAAGAACAAGUGUGAAUGACAAUCUUCUCAAGAAGUGAGGGAGUGACUUCAGACUUUUUACCACUUCAUUGUAGAAUAGGUUGGACUCUUUAAAAGGUGGCAAGUGGAGCAAUGGGAGUUGAGAGGACCAAGGAAGAAGCAUUAGAGCGGCAAAGAAUGUUUGCAAAGACGUGGGCUAGAAUGAAUGGUGGGGCCAUUGCUCCCAAGCAGCCAGAUGCUGACCAAAGUAUAGCUCACCUUAGGACCUUUAUCUGCUGCUUGUGCUUCUAGUUAGCUUGAUACUGUACAAUAAAGUGAUUCCAUUUUACCAUGCUGGGAGCUAUGUUUCACUAUGUAUGAUAGUUAAUAGGAUAGAAACAGUGAGAAAUGGUGCAAUGCAGGGGCUAUUGACUAGAGAAUAAUGGAAUUUUCAGAGUGAGAGUCUUUGUUACUUUCCUUAUGAUUAUUAUGGUUAUGUUUUUGUUACUAUCCUUGGG